rnacentral:rRNA from 1 species
UGCGCAGGCGGGCUUGUAAGUCAGUGGUGAAAUCUCGCCGCUUAACGGUAAAACUGCCAUUGAUACUGCAAGUCUUGAAUAUGGUUGAGGUAGGCGGAAUGUGUUGUGUAGCGGUGAAAUGCAUAGAUAUGACACAGAACGCCGAUUGCGAAGGCAGCUUACUAAGCCAUUAUUGACGCUGAGGCACGAAAGCGUGGGGAGCGAACAGGAUUAGAUACCCUGGUAGUCC